rnacentral:lncRNA from 1 species
GAAAGUCUUCUGGUGCAUGGACACCGCCAUUGGACAGUGCUUCAUUGCAGAAGCUGUGCAGGACGCAGAAGUGGAAGGGACUUGAAGUUGCAGAGAUAGCAGGAAAGGGUAUUGGGAUGUUGGUUACAAGGCAUUUUCUUGCCUUGGGAGAAGUAGUUUGUGACUACCAUGGUAAAGUGGUUUCAAGACAGGAGUGCUUAGUGACCCACAAUUCUACAGUAGCGAGGGGGAGUGGCUACAUGUUUUUUUUUUUAUAUAAAAUUCUCGGCAGGUAGCCAGGUGUAUUGAAGCUCAUGAGGAGGAGCGUCUGUGCCAUCCUGGAAUGCACACAUUUGACCACUAAAUUAAUCACUCCUCAAAGAGGGCCAAUCGAAGGCCUAGAUCGCAUAGUGUAGAUGGCAAGGACUUAAUCCUCUUCUUCACCAUAAGUGACAAUAACGAGUGCUGGAUGGACUGACAGACAUGCAGUUUGAAUAUCUACAUGCCCAGGCCAUGUACAGGAGGUGUGUGAAGAUACUUCAUCAGGACAAACUGCUGGGCUGGUCGACACCCACUGGAGUACACACUUUGUGCUUGGCAGUGACAUCAAACCGGCAUAGAGAGCAGCGGUGAGUGACGCAACUUCCGGCUUGCGUACCUGUUUGCUGUUGGUUUAGCUCGUCUCUGUUUUAGCUAUUUCUUUACAUUUUAUACUAUUUAUUAACAUUAAACCGUCUUUAUAACCUUCCUAAACCUAUAAAAUCCCUCAGGUAGCUAUUAUUUUCGUGUUAUUACUCGUUUUUUGCUGUUGUUUGUGUGUGUUUGUGCUUACUUCGAAGUAAUGGUGACUGCGGAAGACCGUGCUCUCCUGACACUCAGUGAGGAGCUCGCCCGUCUGGAUCGGCAGAUCCAGCGCCUGCUCCAGAGGCAGUCGGAGCUCCACCGGCAGAAGACGAGGCUGGAGGAGUCCAGCGAUGCCUCCUUCGCGGCCGUCUCCACCCCGGAGCUGCCGGCGCGGCGGACACCGUCUGUCGCCAUCUUCACCCCCGCUCCGGGAGGGGCCUGGGAGCGCCAGCGCGGCCGAGGAAACCGGGUUUCCCCCCCUACCUUCUCAGACGGAUUUUGAGUCCACAAACCGGUUUGAGGUCCUUAGCUCGUCGCCGUCGCCUCCUUCACCUCCCCCAGCCCCGAGGAAAACAGAUAAGGGAGCUCAGGUCCUGGACGUCGCCCGGCGGCUUCCUAGGGUGCUUCGGCAUCGCGGGGACCCCGGCACAGUCAUCCUGCAUGUGGGUACCAACGACACAUCCGCCCAGCGCAGCGAG